CUUCUCUCUCCUUCUGUUAUUAUUUUAAUAUUUAAAUUUUUUAGAACCUCGUGUAAAUGCAAACGAUGGACGUGCUCUGAGAUAAAUUUAUUUAUACGGCUGUGACUGUCAAGCCAAAACGACGAGAGGAGUCUUUUACAUACGCCACGUGGCGUGUUAUAAUCAUCUCCGGUGAUGCCAAAGCAGCUUUUAGAUUCUCAGCAUAUACCCCCGAAAAUUUAAAAAUCUUACGUUUAUUUUUUCUUGUUUCGCUACAAAAAUCAAAAUUCGAUAGUAGCUACAAACACAAGUUUUAGAGAUGUAGUCCCAGCCUGUGCCACUUGCAUCUUAUCUGACUGACACAAUCUGAAUUUUGUUCGGUGAGUACCUUGUAUCGUCUGCUUUUACCGUCGGUUACUUUGUAUCAGCUGGUGUGACCGGGAGCUGGUAUCGUUCAAAGCGUUUUCUCCAACUUGUCUUUAAGCUAACGCAAUGGUGGCAUAAAAAAGGAAAAUAGAGACCAGCAGCUAGAAAUGUUAAACUAUGAGAAUACAGUUACACUUACAACUUGCAAGAAACCAAAAUGAAUAUAGUCCAAGUUUACUAGGGUUUAUUGGUUGUUGUAUUUUAAUAGAUUUGAAAAUCUGAACUAAAUCUAGUGUUAUUGGUUCGAUGAUUUUUAAAUCUGUAUUAAAAUCAUGUGUUAUUGGUUUAAUGAUUCAUAAAUUCUGUAUCAAAUCAAGUGUUAUUCAAUUUUACGAAUUUACUAAUAUAUUUGAUUUUAUAAUGGAUUUGAAUGAAUUUGUUUGGAUUUUUUAGUUAAAAAUACAAAGAUUCAAAUCCGAUGGAAAACCUACGGAUUUGCAUAUUUUACUUUAUAAAUACUAUAUGGAUUUAUAAAUCAAUCAAAAUAUAUAAACCAAUAACACCUAUACAGCUCCCUCAAGUUUUAAUUAUUAUUAUUUUUUAUUUCACCGGUUUCCAAUAACAAGAGUUGUUGUAGUAUAGUGGUAAGUAUUCCCGCCUGUCACCCGGGUGACCCGGGUUCGAUACCCGGCAACGGCGAUUAACUGUUUUUUGUGUGGUGUUUUCAAAUACCAGUACACUCGCCACAACGUAUCUAUCUAUAUCUCUCUCUCCAGCUGCAUCUUCCCUUUCUCUUUUUUUUUUUUUUUGGUUUCUAACGUUCUUGUUUAUUAUGGCAGGUUGGUUUUGAGAUGGUGGACCUUUUGGCUGAUGCAGAAGGGAUAUCUGUGAACACCGUUAACUUCAAGGCCUUGUUUGGCAGAGGUCUUAUUGGACAUGUACCGGUUAUGCUGGCGAAAUCUCAGACUCUCAUGGACGCAAGUGAUGAGUCUGUAAGUUAGCUCAUCGCAAAAAAAAAAACAACUUUAAGUGUAUGUGUAUUUUUACUUGUAAAUCAACUUAUUGAUUGGUGGAACUGUCUGAAGGUCGCACAAAUUGUUUCCUUUUACAAGAUCUAAACCAAGUACUUAUGGUAUGCA